AUUGAACGCUGGCGGCAGGCCUAACACAUGCAAGUCGAACGAGUGGCGGACGGGUGAGUAAUGUCUGGGAAACUGCUUGAUGGAGGGGGAUAACUACUGGAAACGGUAGCUAAUACCGCAUACCAUCAGAUGUGCCCAGAUGGGAUUAGCUUGUUGGUGGGGUAACGGCUCACCAAGGCGACGAUCCCUAGCUGGGCUGAGAUGAGGACCAGCCAAACUGGAACUGAGACACGGUCCAGAACCCUACGGGAGGCAGCAGUGGGGAAUAUUUCACAAUGGGCGCAAGCCUGAUGCAGCCAUGCCGCGUGGAUGAAGAAGGCCUUCGGUUUGUAAAGUACUGUCAGCGGGGAGGCGUUACCCGCAGAAGAAGCACCGGCUAACUCCGUGCCAGCAGCCGCGGUAAUAC
rnacentral:rRNA from 1 species